UUUCCGUAGGUGAACCUGCGGAAGGAUCAUUACAAAUCUUUUGCCAGUGCUGCGCUUGCGUAGCCUCCCAACAUUAGCACAAGGUCGCAAGGCCUUGAUGUUUACGCUUGUUUGUUUGACAGAGUUAGUUGAGACAAUAAUAAAGACAACUUUUAACAAUGGAUCUCUUGGCUCUU
rnacentral:misc_RNA from 1 species